AGUGGCGGGAGGAAAGUCCGGGCAACACAGGGUCCCAUACUUCCUAACAGGAAGGUGUCCCGCAAGGGGCAACAGAGAGCGCCACAGAAAAGAUACCGCCUGCGAUAUCACGGCACCGCCGGAGCAGGUAAGGGUGAAAACGCGAGGCAAGAGCUCACGACGCAUUGCAGCGAUGCAUGUGAUGGCAAGCCUUAUGGGUUGAAAGACCAAAUAUACCGGCAGUCAAGGGCUGACCCGUCCGUUGCCGGGGGGUAGGUUGAUUGAGACGGCAGGCGACUGCCGCCCUAGAUAAAUGAUAGAACGCGCAAGCGACAGAACCCGGCUUACAGGUUG
rnacentral:RNase_P_RNA from 1 species